UUACAGCCAUAUCAUGUUGAAACAUCGGUUCCAGUACGAUCACCGAAGUUAAGCAACGUCGUGCCUGGCCAGUACUUAGAUGAGUGUCCGCUUGGAAAUUGCAGGCAGUGUA